rnacentral:rRNA from 1 species
GACGAACGCUGGCGGCGUGCCUAAUACAUGCAAGUUAAGCGAUGAAGAUCGGUGCGUGCACCAAGUUGAAGAGCAGCGAACGGGAGAGUAACGUGUGGGGAAUCUGCCUUUGAGCGGGGGACAACAAUCGGAAACGAAUGCUAAUACCGCAUAACAACUUUAAACAUAAGGUUGAAGUGUGAAAGAUGCAAUUGCAUCACUCAAAGAUGAUCCCGCGUUGUAUGAGCUAGUUGGUGAGGUAAAGGCUCACCAAGGCGAUGAUACAUAGCCGACCUGAGGGGGUGAUGGGCCACUGUGGGGCUGAGACACGGCCCAAACUCUUACGGGAGGCACCAGUAGGGACUCUUCGGAGAUGGGCGGAAGUCUGCCCGAUGGACGCCAGGUGAGUGCAGCAGGUCUUCGGAUCGUAUGACUCUGUUCGUGGAGUAGACCGUUUGUGAGUGUGGCAAGCUCAUCAAGUGACGGUAACUACACAAAAAGGAACGGCUAACUACGUG